UGGGGAAUUUUGGACAAUGGGCGAAAGCCUGAUCCAGCAAUGCCGCGUGUGUGAAGAAGGCCUUCGGGUUGUAAAGCACUUUUGUCCGGAAAGAAAUCCUCUGGGUUAAUACCUCGGGGGGAUGACGGUACCGGAAGAAUAAGCACCGGCUAACUACGUGCCAGCAGCCGCGGUAAUACGUAGGGUGCAAGCGUUAAUCGGAAUUACUGGGCGUAAAGCGUGCGCAGGCGGUUUUGUAAGACCGAUGUGAAAUCCCCCGGGCUCAACCUGGGAACUGCAUUGGUGACUGGCAGGCUAGAGUAUGGCAGAGGGGGGUAGAAUUCCACGUGUAGCAGUGAAAUGCGUAGAGAUGUGGAGGAAUACCGAUGGCGAAGGCAGCCCCCUGGGCCAAUACUGACGCUCAUGCACGAAAGCGUGGGGAGCAAACAGGAUUAGAUACCCUGGUAGUCCACGCCCUAAACAAUGUCAACUAGUUGUUGGGGAUUCAUUUCCUUAGUAACGUAGCUAACGCGUGAAGUUGACCGCCUGGGGGAGUACGGUCGCAAGAUUAAACUUAAGGAAUUGACGGGGUCAUAGCUGUUU
rnacentral:rRNA from 1 species